UUGGAGGCAGUGGUGGCUUCGGAGGCAGUGACGGAGUUGGUGGCAGCAGUGGUGGCUUCGGAGGAGGCAGUGGCAGCGGCCUGGGUGGUUCUGCAGAUGGAAGCAAAGGCGGAAGCGGCCACCUUAGCACCAGUUACGGCGUACCUAAUUAGUAGAUGAAACGGGUAACUGACUCAACAGGGAAUGUUAUUGCUGCUUGUAUGUCGAUGUGCACAUCCACUUAUGUACAUGAGUGAACAUGAGCUAUAAUUUUCUGACAACAAUAAAAUGUUGAUGUGUGAGUAAUGACUCAUUUUCCGUGGAACCCAAUAAUGACAGUUGAAAAUGAAGACUAAAUUUAGAGAGAAAAAUAAAAACAAUUAUAUUGAUUAAUAUAGAUGUGGUUUAUAUAUGUUUCAGCAAGUCAUUAACAAUGAAAAGAAAUGCAAAACCAACACUCACUUUGCUGUGAAACCUUAAUUAAGCAAGACAAACUCAGCUACAAAGGA